CGAAAACGAAUUCUCUCUUGAGUGGAUCCUGAGUACGACGGAGCACGUGAAAUUCCGUCGGAAUCUGGGAGGACCAUCUCCUAAGGCUAAAUACUCUCUAGUGACCGAUAGUGAACCAGUACCGUGAGGGAAAGGUGAAAAGUACCCCGGAAGGGGAGUGAAAGAGAACUUGAAACCGUGUGCUUACAAGUAGUCAGAGCCCGUUAAUGGGUGAUGGCGUGCCUUUUGUAGAAUGAACCGGCGAGUUACGAUCUGAUGCAAGGUUAAGCAGAAAAUGUGGAGCCGUAGCGAAAGCGAGUCUGAAUAGGGCGAAUGAGUAUUUGGUCGUAGACCCGAAACCAGGUGAUCUACCCUUGGUCAGGUUGAAGUUCAGGUAACACUGAAUGGAGGACCGAACCGACUUACGUUGAAAAGUGAGCGGAUGAACUGAGGGUAGCGG
rnacentral:rRNA from 1 species